UACGUAGGGUGCGAGCGUUGUCCGGAUUUAUUGGGCGUAAAGGGCUCGUAGGCGGCGUGUCGCGUCGGGAGUGAAAGCCCGUUGCUUAACGGCGGGUUGGCUUUCGGUACGGGCAUGCUGGAGUGCGGCAGGGGAGACUGGAAUUCCUGGUGUAGCGGUGGAAUGCGCAGAUAUCAGGAGGAACACCGAUGGCGAAGGCAGAUCUCUGGGCCGUAACUGACGCUGAGGAGCGAAAGCGUGGGGAGCGAACAGG
rnacentral:rRNA from 1 species